GACGAACGCUGGCGGCGUGCCUAAUACAUGCAAGUGGAACGCACAGUUUAUACCGUAGCUUGCUACACCAUAAACUGUGAGUUGCGAACGGGUGAGUAACGCGUAGGUAACCUGCCUGGUAGCGGGGGAUAACUAUUGGAAACGAUAGCUAAUACCGCAUAAUAUUGAUUAUUGCAUGAUAAUUGAUUGAAAGAUGCUAUUGCAUCACUACCAGAUGGACCUGCGUUGUAUUAGCUAGUAGGUGCGGUAACGGCUCACCUAGGCGACGAUACAUAGCCGACCUGAGAGGGUGAUCGGCCACACUGGGACUGAGACACGGCCCAGACUCCUACGGGAGGCAGCAGUAGGGAAUCUUCGGCAAUGGACGAAAGUCUGACCGAGCAACGCCGCGUGAGUGAAGAAGGUUUUCGGAUCGUAAAGCUCUGUUGUAAGAGAAGAACGGGUGUGAGAGUGGAAAGUUCACACUGUGACGGUAUCUUACCAGAAAGGGACGGCUAACUACGUG
rnacentral:rRNA from 1 species